rnacentral:misc_RNA from 1 species
CUUGACUGACAUAGUAAUAAUUCUUGUCUACCUUGACUGUAUUUAAUGCUCACACUUAUGCAGGAGUGUUGAAUAUUUAGGAGCUACUUGGCUAUGAAAAAUACUUUUAGUGACCAGUUUUCUUAUCAUUCUUAACAUUGCACUGCUCUGAAAGCCUCCAUUCCUUCCCCUGUAUUGCUUCCAUUUCUUCAUCAUGGAUCAUUGCAAG